UACGUAGGUGACCAGCGUUGUCCGGAUUUACUGGGCGUAAAGAGCGCGCAGGCGGUCGUUCAAGUCGAGUGUGAAAGCCCCCGGCUCAACUGGGGAGGGUCAUUCGAUACUGAUCGACUCGAAGGCAGGAGAGGGAAGCGGAAUUCCCGGUGUAGUGGUGAAAUGCGUAGAUAUCGGGAGGAACACCAGUGGCGAAGGCGGCUUCCUGGCCUGUAACUGACGCUGAGACGCGAAAGCGUGGGGAGCGAACCGG
rnacentral:rRNA from 1 species